rnacentral:tRNA from 1 species
AGUUAAUGAUCUUGAUAAAGUUUAUGUUUUGAAAACAUAAUAAAGAAAUUAUAACCUUUCUAUUAACUU